rnacentral:lncRNA from 1 species
CUGCCUAUAAAUAUGGAGCAUCGUCCACUUUUCAACAACAAUAAAUUAUCAUUCAAUAUAUACAUGACAUAAUUGUUCAAAUAUCUUUUCAUUUAUUACAUAAUUCUUAUUACAAGAGUCCAUAACGCUUCCGCACCAAAAUUGAUUUCAGAACAAGGAAAUUGCCUUACUCUGAUGGCCAACGACGGUCCUGGUGGCAGUCGAAUCGCCAACGACGAACGGAGGCUUGACAAACUCAAACAACAAAUCGAGGAGAUCGACGAAAUCCUUUACAACAUCACACAGAUGCUGAUUGUGUUAAGUUUUGAAAGGAAUUGUUAGCUCAUGGAGAAGCGAGCUAACAAGAAUUUGUAGAUUUUAACUGCAUUGAAUGUUAGUUGUUUCAACAAGCACAGGACACGACAACAUGUAGCUAAAGAAUUUCCUCGAGUCCCAGCCAAGUUCAAAAUAAAAAAGUUAUUAAUGAUCAUUUUCUUCAACAAAACUCGAGGACGAGUUUUUCUUCACGUGGAGGGAAUUGAUGUAGUACAACUACAAUUCCUACUACUAGGAUGUUUUAUAUUUUAGGAAUUUGAUUUCCUUUUAGUUUUCUUGUAUUAGAACUCUUUUUAUUAGGAUUAUAGUUUUUAGAAGGUUAAUUAGAACAGAG